rnacentral:rRNA from 1 species
GAUGAACGCUGGCGGCGUGCCUAAUACAUGCAAGUCGAGCGAACAGACGAGGAGCUUGCUCCUCUGACGUUAGCGGCGGACGGGUGAGUAACACGUGGAUAACCUACCUAUAAGACUGGGAUAACUUCGGGAAACCGGAGCUAAUACCGGAUAAUAUAUUGAACCGCAUGGUUCAAUAGUGAAAGACGGUUUUGCUGUCACUUAUAGAUGGAUCCGCGCCGCAUUAGCUAGUUGGUAAGGUAACGGCUUACCAAGGCAACGAUGCGUAGCCGACCUGAGAGGGUGCGCGCCCACACGGGAGUUGAGACACGGUCCAGACCCCGCGGGGAGGGAGCAGGGGGUAUCUUUCCACAUGGGGAGAAGGCCUAAGGGAGCCACGCCGCGUGAGUAAAGAUGGUCUUCGGAUCUAAAAACUUUUUUAUUGGGGAAGAACAAAUUUGUAAUAACCUCUGCGCGUUUGGACGUUACCUAAUCAAAAGGCCCCGGCUAACUACGUC